rnacentral:rRNA from 1 species
UACGGAGGGAGCUAGCGUUGUUCGGAAUUAUUGGGCGUAAAGAGCUCGUAGGCGGUGUGUCACGUCGGCCGUGAAAACCUGCAGCUUAACUGUGGGCGUGCGGUCGAUACGGGCAUCACUGGAGUUCGGCAGGGGAGACUGGAAUUCCUGGUGUAGCGGUGAAAUGCGCAGAUAUCAGGAGGAACACCGGUGGCGAAGGCGGGUCUCUGGGCCGAUACUGACGCUGAGGAGCGAAAGCGUGGGGAGCAAACAGG